UAUAGAUCAAAAACCUCCUUAUUUAUCUUAUACUGACUCCUCAGUUCAGGCAGUUUUAGCUCAUAUGUGUGAACAACCUGAUGUCAGUUUGGUGGGGAAGUAGAGGUAACGUUGCAAUCAGAGCGUCCAGAGCAGGUUAAAGCUCUGACUUUUGUCUUGAAGGCAACAUUUUUACAUAUGUGCAAGUUUUGGAACUUUGACCAUGUUUAACAUAGAUAUCCAACAUUAUAGCACUGUAAAAAUGACAGAAAAUCAAUUAAAAGCAUGAUAUGUGACAUUGCUGGUCCCUCCAUGAGGCGUCUGAGUCACAUUCAAGACAAAAUGUUGUGUGGAUGUAAAUCAGCAGGUUACUCUCAGACUCUUCCUAAUGCAACAUAUUUACUAGUUAGAGUUCUGCUGACUCACCAGAGGCCUCCAGCACCAUCUUUUCAGGAUCUUGUCAUAAUUAGCAGCCAGAUCACACCAGUAAUUCCCCGAGUCAUCAGUCGUGACUCUGGACAGAUGAAGUUUGAUUCGUCCUUCGUCUCUCAGAGCGUCUUCAUCACACUGCAGCCGUCCUGUAAACUGCUCAUCCUGAGACUCUGGGACCUCAGCACCGUUUAUCAUCUCAUACUAAAUCCUAACAGGCUUUAACUGGAAGAAACAAACCAGGUGAAAAGGUCAGAGGUCUGGUUGGAUAUGCAGGAAAAAGCAGCUUCAUGGACCCAGAAGAACAGAGUCUGAAGGCAAAGUAGAGUCCAGCACAGACAGCGAGUACAGCUGCUGCUGUCAGUCCAACGUAGAGGCCGAUCCUUCUCCAACUCUCUGGUUUUGAUCUCACAGUAGGUUUCAGAGUUUUGGGCUGAUCAACAGCUGAUGUAAAGGACAUGAAAGAAUAAUAAUUGUUCUUGUAUUUCACAAAAUUCUGUUAUUCCAAUGUUUAACUCUCCUACUUAUGAAAAUCUGGACCAUUUGGGCUUGAACCUGGUGAUGUUUGCGUCCACGAACAGUCUGUACAUCACUGAUAACAUGAAUUAAAAAGG